AGCAGCCGCGGUAAUUCCAGCUCCAAUAGCGUAUAUUAAAGUUGCUGCAGUUAAAAAGCUCGUAGUUGAAUUUCGGGAUCAAUACGUCGGUCGUGCCUCGGUACGUACUGGUUUAUUGGUUUCUCCUUUCUGGAGAACCAUGAUGUCAUUUAUUUGGUGUCGGUGGGGAAUCAGGACUGUUACUUUAGAAAAAAUUAGAGUAGUUUAAAGCAGGCUCACGCUUGAAUACAUUAGCAUGGAAUAAUGAAAUAGGACGUUUGAUUCUAUUUUGUUGGUUUCUAGGAUCGACGUAAUGAUUAAUAGGGAUAGUUGGGGGCAUUAGUAUUCAAUUGUCAGAGGUGAAAUUCUUGGAUUUAUUGAAGACUAACUACUGCGAAAGCAUUUGCCAAGGAUGUUUUCAUUAAUCAAGAACGAAAGUUAGGGGAUCGAAGACGAUCAGAUACCGUCGUAGUCUUAACCAUAAACUAUGCCGACUAGGGAUCGGAUGAUGUUAAUUUUUUAAUGACUCAUUCGGCGCCUU
rnacentral:rRNA from 1 species